GGGCGGGGAGGGAGGGGCCUGAGAAUAGACGCUUGUGAGUGGUGGGCCCGGCCGUGGCCGGGAAGUUCGAUCGGAAGUCUGGGACAAGCCAGGGAACACGCAAAGGCCGGGGAAAGAACUCAGGACGCGUGCGCGUCAGGUGUGACGCAUGCGCAGCGCACCCCAGACCCCGGCCGGCCGCUGUCCAACCAUCCCCCUUAGUACGAAUAGGUUGGAGCACUGAGACUUCCGGUUCCGCAAGGCUCACCUUUCAGGUGAGGUUUAUCUCGGCUCCAGAUCACUGAGAGGGAGACCGUCUCAAAGAGUAAUUGUAUCCUGCGUAGCACAAAAGUCACCGUGUUCUGGGAGGAGGGAGGCGCCGCUCCUUCCUCCAGGUCCCCAGUUCACAGCAAAUUCGAGGAGGAAGUAAGGAGACUCCUGUACACUGGAGCGCCCGCCCGCUGUCCCGUCAGACUGGGCGCUGCGCCCUGCCGGCUGCGACCGACCGUUAGGCCAGGACCCAGGGCUUCCGGCCGCCCUUCGCUGCCCAGUGUGGCCUCGACAGCAGGCCAGGCCUCGCUUCGUUGUUUUGAUUUGCUUUCCCUGGCCUGCGCUCAAGCGUCUUCUCGCGCUUGUGCGCAAGCUGAAAGUCUCCGGUUUCAGGAAACACCCCUCCACUGCAGGCGCGGGCUCCACAACAGCAGACGUCAGCCAACAUGAGCAGGAGCCUGAGUGAGUCGGAUGGCGCGCGUCAGCUCCUGGCCCUGCCUGAAACGCCCCCGCUGCUUCACAGGGGAGGAGCUCACAGCUGGGCCCACGUCCCGCCGUGCUGGUCAUCUGAUGGAGGUCACAGGCUCUAGGCCACACGGAUGGAGUGAAAGAUGUUUCUGGAACGCUGAAGGGCAGAACAUAGUUAAUUCUGGCAAUUUUGUGGGGCAGCUUCUGCUUCUUCAUUAGGACAGAAAUAGCCAGAGAUGAUUUUACAUAAGGAAGUCACAGAGGGACAGCAGCGGGGGUGCUUCUGGCACCAGGUUGCUUUUCAGCAUUUUAAAUAAGUUAAUAGCAUAGCUUCCAUCACUCCCGAAUAAAUAUCCAAUUAUGUUGCUGAAUUUUGAAACAUCUUAAAGUAAUAUUUCAAUUAAUAUAUCGUUUGUUAUUUUCAUAUAAUAGCAUUUAUUGGAGCUCAGGAAAAACUUUGUAGAGAAUUACCCUCCGAAAGACCUAAGUCUAAUUCCUAAUAUAACUUGUUUCUUUUGAGAUUUCACUUUUGCCUUUUUUUCUUUUCAUAAAUCAAAUUUCAUUCUAUUUUUCUCCUUCCUUCUGGAGCAUGAAAAAGAUUUUAUUUCUUCUUUAGUUAUUCUAGGACAAAUUAAAGUUUUAAUUGUAAGUUUUAAAUUUGGCAUCGUGUGACAUUAUGAAAUACAUGUUCUAUUAGUCAUUAGCUAAAAUAGCAAAUGGCUUUCACUACUGUGCUUUCCUUUUAUUUCUUUUUUGGGCGGGACUAGGGAUUGAACCCAGGCCCUCACACCUGGCAGACAAGCACUCUACCGCUGAGCUACACCCAGCCCCUUUUAUUUUUAUUUCGGGAAGGGUCUUGCUAAGUUGCCCUGACCCGGCUGGCUGACCUGGAAGUUGUGUCCCUUCUGUCCCAGCCUCCCGCACAGCCAGGCAUACAGACGUGCACCACCACAGCAGAAGCAAACUGGUAACUUCAAUUGUACCAAGAAACUUCUCAUUACCUGUCUCCUUGUCUUUUCCUAAAGCACAAGCUUGUAAUCUAUGGGCAGGGCCAGACCUCAGGGGAUGCUGCCCUACAGGGACACUGGCCCUGCUUCUGAGCCAAGUGUCUGGUGAGUGAGGUGGAGAAGGAAAGGCCCAGAUGUCACCUGUCAGGGAGGCCCAGUUGCCCUCAGGUGGGAGCAGUGGAAGAUGAAGCAGCUUUCCUUCCACAGCUGCUAAGCCUUGCUGGGAGUCCGUGGGUGGCUUCAGUGUUUUCUCCGGAGGAUGGGAUAACACUACCCCUCAUGUUGCCACCUGCCACAGUUUACCAUAGUCUCAGAAAAGGCGAAGGACAGGGGCUUCUGUUCUUUGUCACUCCAUGGAAGGAACUUUAGGACGCUGCAGGACUUUUUGGAAAGUGGCAGCUAAAGCUCUGGGGAUAAACGCUCCAGAGGGAAGGUGAAGACAGUGAGGGUUGUGCGAGACCUGGAACCUCUCGAACGGCCCACGGGUGGGGUGCUCACACAGUGUCUCCGAGUGUGUGGUGUGGCACAGGACCCCGCAGCACCUUCGGAUUUGCACUGCCAGGCCGACCUCGGAGGGACGGACUUGCAGCUACAACACAGACACCUCUGGGGUGAAAUGUGGCGACGGUUUGACAGACAUAGCAGGAGCUCCGGCCAAAAAGGAUUUAUCCAAUUAAAGUUAUGGGAUGAAUUUUGGCUGGCAGCAUGUAAUUACCCGGCUUGGAGCGGAGCCAGGAUCCUGAGGUUAACACCCGUGCUCUUGCCAGCAGCCUCCUACCUGCCAAGGCUCGGCAGGGCUGGAGCGCGCUGUUGUGACAUCUCGCACAAUGCUGGUGACGCACAGCCUGGACCUGGUUUCUUCAGCGCUCAUUAUGUUCCUUCUUUUUAUGCCACAUUAGGCUCGAAACCAAAUGUCCACAUAGAUGUCAAUUUCCUCAAAUCUGAGUUUAAAAUUAUAAUUAGAAAAUAAAAAAUAGAUUUACAAAUUAAUUUAUUCCGUCAGAGUGGUUAUCGAGCGAUUAUUUCACUGUAGGAGUGAAACUGGAUCAGAGCGGUGAUAUUGAACCCUCGCCGCCUUAGGAGAAAAAUGGACCAGGAGCCAGGUCGGGCCUGGGUGGGAGAGCGCCCCGGGCCCACAGACAGCCGGGCAAGAGACAAGCCCGCGGCCCGCGGCCGCCCUGCCUUGCAGCCUUGUCCCGGAUGGACCGGGCCCCACGCGCGUCACAGACACGAGGAGUGGGUCUCGGAGGGACCGGGAAGGAGGGAGGGCAGCGGCGCGGGGGACCGGUCCUGGUCACGCAGGAGGCAGGACAGGGGCCGCGGGGUGGCCCACGCGGAGAUUCGCCCCACCCGGGUCCCCUCUGUCCCCUCUGCGCCCCUCCUGACCCUGCCCAGGCCAGUGCACACCCCGUGGCCCUCGGGCCUGCGCCGUCUGGGGCCCACUCAGGUCGCUAGCACGCGGGACCGGCUGCCGCGCCAGGCGAAGGCCUCUCUGCCCGACCCGUCCGCUCCGAGCCUCGCCGAGGCCGAAGUCACCCUGCGAGGGCGCCGGGUCCCUAUGUCCCGCGAGACCGACGGCAGGCGCUGAUCUCGCCGCGAGCGCUGCUGGGAGAGUGCUCGACAGGUUGGCGCCGGCCGCGGAGGCCGGAGGGAAGGCGCGGGUCUACUCCCCAGAGAAGGUGGCUCGGCCUUGGUGUGCUCUGCUGCGCAUUCCACGCGAAUCCGCGAGCGCGGAGUCGGCCGGGCGGGAACUCCCAGGCUGCAGCCUGGCGUCGCCCAGCCCUGCAGGGCCCGGACUCAGAGGCAGCAGCCGCGGACACUGAGGGGCCGCCAGGCCGGCUGUCUGGAGUCCAGGGUUCAGGUCUGGCGUGCGGAGGGCCCCGCUCCGAAGGCGGGCGUAAUUUCCUUUUACUUGAGAUCUUUUAAUUCUUUCCUCAUCCUAUCCUUGGAAGCGUGGAAAGAUGAGUUGACAAAUGCCUUCUAGAGGCCUAAAAACAACCAGUGCAGCCUCCACCACUCGUGUGAUUGAUCCAUUGCCAAUGGAACGGCUGCAGUUUUGGCCUUACCGAGUAGUGCUACAUAGCAGGAUGUGUGUUCUCUUUCAGUUCAAGGCGGAGUCCUGUGGAAAGAUUUUAAACGGGUUUAGAAACUUCAGAGGUCAAAGAACAAGGAAGAACUUAAAUAGUUUCUAUUUAAUGAAAGCACCAAACUGGGUCUCUUAUUUGUUUGUAUAAUGUGUGUGGCAUCUCCUGGAGGUUUAUUAUUAUUAUUAUUGUUAUUUGGCCAAAAGUAUAGUUUUUAUAAGAAUCACCCUGGUAAACUGUGAAAUUGUCUUCCUCAUCUGUCUUUCCUGGAUUUCCCAUCAGUCCAGUUUAGCAGAAGGAUCCAGCCUGCCUGCCUGUUAAGUGCACAGUGCUCACAGACGCGUGUGCUGAGGACCGCGCGCAGGUGGAGUAGUGCAGGUUGACGAGAGCCUCACGGAUCGGCGCAGUCCGGCUGCGUGACCUGAGGGACCUGCUGGGUGUCCUGGUACCUGUGUUCACGUGUGCACCACCUCACGUGCUUGGGGCCGCCUGAGGGUUCUUCCUUGGACGGUCCCUGGGAAUGACGUAGUGAGACGUUCAUAUCAGGGCUGCCUAAUUCUCAAAAAGUUGGGAUUUUUCUGAUUAGUGAACUUGAAAAUCUGAAUGAAUUUUAGAGACCAAAAGAAAGACUCAUGUUUCUUUAAUUCUGGGAAAAUCGUGUCUUCCCCCACGCUGGGCUCCUUGGCUGCCUGCUCGCUCUGCAUAUUGGAAGCCAGAAGGAAAUGCAUUGUUGAGAACACGAAGAAGCAGCUCUGCCUGAAAGACAGAACAGAGAUCACAGAGCAUUGGUGGUGUGGCUCCCAGGUCACUUCUAUCCUCCACCCUGGGCCCGGCACUCCUCCUGGUCUCCUCUGUCUCGGCGCUUGCUCAGCCACACAGCUCUUCCUACCUGUGCUUGUGUUCAGGAUAGUGACAGGCCCCAAGGAUCCAGGACGCAUUACUACAUAAAAGUCUAAUGUUUCCCCAGGGGGCCAUUUAUUUGAUCAUUAAUAGAAUGAGCAUAAUAGUACAGUGUGCUUUUUAUUCAGCAGGCUGAGUGAAAAAUAAACCUGCCAGCUAGCAACUUUCACCUUCCAAAGCACUCCUACAGGCAGCGGUGCUGUCUUUGCCCACCGUUACUACCUGGACUUCCUUUUCUCAGGGCAGGGCGGGGGCCACGUGCACCUAGGGACGAGCCUGAGUUCCCAGCAGCUCAGGGUGGAGACCUCUUGGCUUCCCUUGCCACAGCAGCGUUGCUGUGCAGGAUCCUGUGCUUUCCUCACCCAGCGACAUGUGUGUGAUGACACAGUUUAGAUGCCACUUGUUUUCACUUUUCAUCACAUACCAAACGAAAGGUUUGCUGCCAUAGGGUCAUUUACAUAGAAAUACUUUGUUAUUGAGUCCAUACCCUCUUGGCAACAGGUGAGCAUUAUGAUCCUAGCCCUAAAGUGUUUGAGAACAGCCUGUUUUAAUUUCUGGUUGUUAUUUUUGAUGUGGUUUUCAUGAGAGAGAAGUGUUUCCCCCUAUUCCGCCUGUUAACUAGGAGCACAUUUAAGUUACUGUCUUGCAAGUUGGAGGAGCUGGAAAUGUCUAGGAGAAUUCCCAGUAACUGUGGAUUAAAAAAUCCUUUGGAGUUAGUUUGCAGCUGAAUUUUUUCCCUCUAUUUUUUCUUUUUUUUGCACACUCUUGGUGGGAAGAGCCAGCCUGGCUCUCAUUGUCACGAACAGUACCUCUGAUGGGCCUGAUUGAGAGAAUGCAGAGGCAUUUGUGAAAGCACACACUGGUGGAUGCCGGGGUCUCCACUCAUACUUUUUAUCAGCUUAUUAGUGGCAACCGCUCAAAUGGAAUUAUAGCUAUUAUGCUCCAUUACAAACGCCAAACAAUUUGCCUCUGCUGAGAUUCACAGUGACGGCUCCUCCCGCCAGCAAUCCUCUUUUUAUGUGCCUGCUUAAGAAAUUGCAGGAGAGAGCAGUUCAUUCUUUCAGUAUUUGAUUCAAUUGAAUCAUCUGAAACUGAGAAUAAAAGCUUUUCAGAAGAAGAUUCAGGUUGCAAAAACUAUAAAUCAUAUCUUUUUGAUUCAGAGCCUAGAGUGUGUUGAGAAACUAGAUAAAAACGAGGUUGCCUGCUCUCGUUCUUGCCUCUUCUUUUAUAGUUUUAAAAAUGGGAGGAAGGUAGCACUAGUUAGAAGAGAGAACCUGUUGUUUUGCAAAUAAUUUAAAGGCAUUUAUUUUUAAAAUUUAUUUUAUUUUUUGGUACUGGGGAUCGAACUUGGGACCUUCUGCUUUGAGGCAGGCGGUGGAACCACUGAGCUAAAUCCCUGGCCCUAAAGGCAUUUAUUUUUGAGUGAAUGGAAUAAAACUAUAUAAACUUGGUGUGCUUCCAAUUAAGCAGUGUGAGCACAUUUUGGUGGCCUACAAAGGUCUUAGGUAAAGGAACGUAGUUAUAAAUUUUAGACCUAUACCAGGGCCGGCUCUGUAGAUGACUAAGAGGGAGUGACAUAUGUUUAUCUUCUCACAUUAUUAAAAUUAAUAGUGUAGGGCUGCUGUAGCUCUGUGGUUCCUGGGUGUAACUUCUUUUUCCUUUCCUCUGAAAAGAUUCGUUGUUCAGCUGCCAGGGGACAGCGGCACGAGGUGUAAUAGCAUAGCUAAAUCUUUAAUUACCGCCUGAAAACUUUUGUCCUUCACUUUGAAUUUGCUUUUGUAGGCUUAAGGGUGACUUUUAAGGAGCCUGGACCAGUCCUGUAAACUUCAAAAAUAACUCUGGGUUUAUAUAAGGCUACCACACAAGGGGAUAGCAGCUUUCUCCUUUGGGUUACAGGUCCAAGUGAGUCACAAGCCAUGAAGCUGGAAGUCGUUAACGUCUGAAGGCUGUUGGUGGCCUCCAGAUUGGAGAGGCGGAGUGGGGACAGUGUCUAGGGGACAGGUGCAUGCACACUGGAAGCCUCCUCGUCCUUCCAGAGUCCAGAUCUUGGCUCUGACAGUUCGAUUUCCGGGAUCAAGAAGGAAGUGCUAACGAGGCCUAGGAGAUGAGGGACGAGGGCAGAGUUUUGGGUGGUACAGGUUGGCCGCUGAAACAAGUGGGUGCUGUCUCCAUCUGUGCUGAGAGCCAGCAGGUCCCAGAGGAGUCUCCCAUGGAGGCCAUGCUGCCCCGAGCUCGGCUGCCUGGCUCUACAGGAAGAUGCUGGGAGAAGCAGACGUCACUGCUCAGGAACCCCAGGUAGCUCCUGUCACUUUCAAAGGCCACAUCCCAGAAUUUUCCUGCCAAAGUAAAUUAAUUACACCAGAACAAAUUAAGUAUUAUGGUUCAUCACAGAAAAAAAAUCUUUGCAUUUUUGUGAUGUUUUCUUUGCAGGACAAAAACACCCUAAAGUAUCUGCACCAAGUAUCUAAGAGCUCGGUCAUUGCUGUGGCAGGUUCUGUUGAUAAGUCGGGGAAGAGCGGGUUCCUGUCUUUACAGAUGUGUCUUCUUUUGGUACAGGGCAGCCUUCAGGUGUUCUGGAGCCCUCCUCAACCCUUGACAUCCUGCAUAGUCCUCAGCGCUGCCCUCCACUGGGGAGACUCUCCCCCAGCCUGCGUUUCACUGUUUUCUAAGAAUGUGCCUCUCAGACCUCGGAAUUCCCUCUUUGUCCAGUUAAUCACGGCAUCCAAGGUGUGUUUCCUUGGAGAUUGAAGAGCUUUUGGAUGACUCUCCCUAAACAUGGGUCAUAUUGUCUGAAGUGUCAGUCUCUACGUAAAGACAUGAGAUCUGCUUUGAUCUCAGCUGCUGAAGUUGUCACACUGCAUUGCUGAUGGAGACUCAGCCUGAUGAUAUAAAACUCCCAGGUGUUGGUAUUUAGAUAUAAUAAUUCAAUGGAAAAUCUAAUUACUAGGUAAGAAGAAAUCUAAAGUACAUACCUCAGUUCACUAAUGCUUCUGUUUGCGAACAAUUUGGUUUAGAAUCAGAAGUGUUUGGCAAAGUUUUGCUUCUGCUCAUAAACUCUGCACUGGUGACGAACACGGCCACAGCCUUCUUCCUUACACAAAUGUGAACACAGCCAUCUUCUCCAGAACUAGAGACGGAAUUAUGUUCCUCAACCAAGGCACCACUGUAUUUAUGCUUUUAGAAGUUUAUAGUUUGGGGGUAUAUACAUUUAAAUGUAGUUACCCACAAAUCAUUCUGAAACUAAUAAGAAUAUUUUCAGAUUAAUUGGAAAAAAUUUUACAGUAAUCAAUUAUAAAAAAACACAAUUGUUUAAGGCCAACAAACAAUGUAUAAUUCCUCCACUUUGGGAAGGGAAAAGCUAGAAAACGUGAAGUUUUAUGACUGCUGGGAGGUGGGGUGAGGUAAAAAUAUCGAGUCUUUUAUUUUUAAUUAUUUUGGAUGAAACAGAUGACAAAAGAAAAGCAACUUGUGGACAAACAAAAUCAUAGCUGCUUCUUUCGCUGUGAUUGAAAGUUCGGUGAUGGUUUUCACAGAAUCGCAUUUUGGCUGGUGGCCCACAGGCCAGCACAGGAAAGUUGAGAGGGACCCAGUCCUGCCUUGGGGUGGAGGACCUGGUCCCCUUCACCCAUCUCUGGUGCACAGUGGAAGAGGAUGGCGUGGUGGCCGGAAAGAGGAGAAGGUUUGGGGUUGUCAUUUCCUGCUGGAAACUGUUUUUACAAACACAAGCAGCCUAAUCACUCCACAGCUCCCUGGGAAGAGCUGACCUGGAAGAGCCGUGUGAACACAAUGCGCUCUGUGGUCAUCCUUCUGCUUUCCCCACAGCCCUGGGGACAUUGACUUCUGUGGGAUGUGGCCAGAGAAAAGUCAUCAAUGAUUUUGCCCUUUACAAAUUCACAAUAGGUUAUGAGGAACAAACAGUAGUUUCUAAUGAGUUCCCUCGACUCGGGUGCAGGAGGAAGCCAUGUUCUGCCAUCUGUGUCCUAUUUGCUUGAGCAGGGUAAUGGUAAGGUUGAAAAACCACUUAAAUGUUAACUCCUACCUCCCUUUCCUCUGAUCCCCCCCCUUCUUUGUGCAUAAGUCUUUCUAAGAUUUCCUGAGAGCUGACCUGUCACGUGCAUAAUUUCAACCCCAGGUGUAAAUUUAAUUUGGAAAUUUUGAGCUAUGUCACCUGAGGUGUUCUUGAAUUAGGGAAGCUGGAGAACAGAAAGACCUUUGGCUUGGGUCGUCUUGCUAUAGGAUGGCUAAUUACGAAAGGGAGGAGCACAGAACCCUUGGGGGGGGGCGGCAGAAGGGUAAUUGCAUUCAUUCAUUCUCCCUACGACCUCAGAAACCCCUCUCUGAUGUUGCCUCCGUUUUACUCAAUAGAGAAUUGUCUAGGAUUUGGGAUAUAGACUUGGACUUCAGCUGAGCUCCUUCAAGUACCAGAAACAGGAAAUGUGAGUGGCUCCCAAGAGAAGCCAUGAGACCCCAGGCUGCAUUUUAAUGUGACCUGACAGCGAAGGGUUGGGUCCCAAAGAAAUCUUGGCCCAACACUGGCUUUGUUUUUGAUCCAAGAAAGAGUUAAAGUUCAUCAUGGAGGAAAAUAUGUUUAACACAAAAAUGAAGAAUUCAGAGUUGUCCAGACCAGAAUAAUGACUUUGUCUUCAAAACAAUUAUGGACAAUUACAUUAACGCCCCAAUUAGCGAGUACACGAAGUUCUUCCUUCCACCAGGGCUCACCCAGAUGUUCCUUCAGGGUGGGGACGCUUGGGAGCCUGAGGUUGGACACAGCGUUCCCCCUCCCAUGCCCUUUUGCUCUUCUGGCAGCUAUUGUACCUCAUGAUUUAAACAUGGACAUUUCUAAUUAAAUGAGAGCUCAG